UACGGAGGGUGCAAACGUUGCUCGGAAUCAUUGGGCGUAAAGCGUGUGUAGGUGGCCUGUUAAGUCGGGUGUGAAAGCCCUGGGCUCAACCCAGGAAGUGCAUUCGAAACUGGCAGGCUUGAAUAUGGAAGAGGGUCGCGGAAUUCCCGGUGUAGAGGUGAAAUUCGUAGAUAUCGGGAGGAACACCAGUGGCGAAGGCGGCGUCCUGGACCAACACUGACACUGAGGAGCGAAAGCCAGGGGAGCAAACGGG
rnacentral:rRNA from 1 species